GGGGGGGGCGGCUUAAACAUGCCAGUCGAACGGUCUCUUCGGAGAUAGUGGCGGACGGGUGAGUAACGCGUGAGAAUCUGUGCUCUAGGUCGGGGACAACCACUGGAAACGGUGGCUAAUACCGGAUGUGCCGAAAGGUGAAAGAUUUAUUGCCUAGAGAUGAGCUCGCGUCUGAUUAGCUAGUAGGUGUGGUAAGAGCGCACCUAGGCGACGAUCAGUAGCUGGUCUGAGAGGAUGAUCAGCCACACUGGGACUGAGACACGGCCCAGACCCCUACGGGAGGCAGCAGUGGGGAAUUUUCCGCAAUGGGCGAAAGCCUGACGGAGCAAUACCGCGUGAGGGAGGAAGGCUCUUGGGUUGUAAACCUCUUUUCUCAGGGAAGAAAAAAAUGACGGUACCUGAGGAAUAAGCAUCGGCUAACUCCGUGCCAGCAGCCGCGGUAAU
rnacentral:rRNA from 1 species